CACCUCUCAGGGGUGCACCUGGAGGGUUUCUAGGACUCUACCAGUCUUGGCUACGGGAGGAAGAGUCAAGCAGAGGCCUACCCGUUCCAUUCCCAGCUGGGGCAGUGGCUAGCGAGUGGAAGGCCAUCUGCUACAAGU